rnacentral:rRNA from 1 species
GACGAACGCUGGCGGCGCGCCUAACACAUGCAAGUCGAACGAGAGAGAGGGAGCUUGCUUCCUCAAUCGAGUGGCGAACGGGUGAGUAACGCGUGAGGAACCUGCCUCAAAGAGGGGGACAACAGUUGGAAACGACUGCUAAUACCGCAUAAGCCCACAGCUCGGCAUCGAGCAGAGGGAAAAGGAGCAAUCCGCUUUGAGAUGGCCUCGCGUCCGAUUAGCUAGUUGGUGAGGUAACGGCCCACCAAGGCAACGAUCGGUAGCCGGACUGAGAGGUUGAACGGCCACAUUGGGACUGAGACACGGCCCAGACUCCUACGGGAGGCAGCAGUGGGGAAUAGUUGCACAAUGGGGGGAAACCCUGAUGCAGCGACGCCGCGUGAGGAGAAGGUCUCGGAUUGUAACUCCUGUUGUUGAGGAAGAUAAUGACGGUACUCAACAAGGAAGUGACGGCUAACUACGUG